AACGAACGUUAGCGGCGCGCUUAACACAUGCAAGUCGAGCGAGAAAGGGCUUCGGCCCCGGUAAAGCGGCGCACGGGUGAGUAACACGUAGGUAAUUUGCCCUCGGGUGGUGGAUAACUUUCCGAAAGGAAGGCUAAUACAGCAUGAGACCACGGUUCCGAAAGGGAUUGAGGUCAAAGCCGGCCAAUUCAUGAAAGCUGGUGCCUGAGGAUGAGCCUGCGGCCCAUCAGCUAGUUGGUAGGGUAAUGGCCUACCAAGGCGAAGACGGGUAGCUGGUCUGAGAGGAUGAUCAGCCACACUGGAACUGAGACACGGUCCAGGCUCCUACGGGAGGCAGCAGUGGGGAAUAUUGCGCAAUGGGCGAAAGCCUGACGCAGCCACGCCGCGUGAGCGAUGAAGGUCUUCGGAUCGUAAAGCUCUGUGGGGGGAGAAGAAGAAAGCCGGUGAAGAGCCGGCCCUGACGGUAUCCCCUUAGCAAGCACCGGCUAACUCCGUGCCAGCAGCCGCGG
rnacentral:rRNA from 1 species